UACGGGGGGGGUAAGCGUUGUUCGGAAUUACUGGGCGUAAAGCGCACGUAGGCGGACUCUUAAGUCGGUGGUGAAAUCCUGGAGCUCAACUCCAGAACUGCCUUCGAUACUGAGAGUCUCGAGUCCGGGAGAAGUGAGUGGAACUGCGAGUGUAGAGGUGAAAUUCGUAGAUAUUCGCAAGAACACCAGUGGCGAAGGCGGCUCACUGGCCCGGUACUGACGCUGAGGUGCGAAAGCGUGGGGAGCAAACAGG
rnacentral:rRNA from 1 species